rnacentral:rRNA from 1 species
GAGGGGGAUAACGACUAGAAAUGGUCGCUAAUACCCCAUAUGCCUAAGGGUGAAAAGAGAUUUGCCUGAAGAUGAGCUCGCGUCAGAUUAGCUAGUUGGUGGGGUAAGGGCCUACCAAGGCGACGAUCUGUAGCUGGUCUGAGAGGAUGAUCAGCCACACUGGGACUGAGACACGGCCCAGACUCCUACGGGAGGCAGCAGUGGGGAAUUUUCCGCAAUGGGCGAAAGCCUGACGGAGCAAGACCGCGUGAGGGAUGAAGGCCUAAUGGUUGUAAACCUCUUUUCUCUAGGAAGAUGAUGACGGUACUAGAGGAAUCAGCCUCGGCUAACUCCGUGCCAGCAGCCGCGGUAAUACGGAGGAGGCAAGCGUUAUCCGGAAUUAUUGGGCGUAAAGCGUCCGUAGGUGGUUGAACAAGUCAGUUGUUAAAGAGUGGGGCUUAACCCUAUAGAGGCGAUUGAAACUGUUUAACUAGAGUUAGGUAGGGGUUACGGGAAUUCCCAGUGUAGCGGUGAAAUGCGUAGAUAUUGGGAAGAACACCGGUGGCGAAAGCGCGUGACUGGGCCUUAACUGACACUGAGGGACGAA